rnacentral:rRNA from 2 species
ACGGGAGGCAGCAGUGGGGAAUCUUGGACAAUGGGGGAAACCCUGAUCCAGCGAUGCCGCGUGUGUGAAGAAGGCCUUCGGGUUGUAAAGCACUUUAGGUGGGGAAGAAAGGUAACGAGCGAAUAACUCGUUGCUAUGACGGUACCCGCAGAAUAAGCACCGGCUAACUCUGUGCCAGCAGCCGCGGUAAUACAGAGGGUGCAAGCGUUAAUCAGAAUGACUGGGCGUAAAGGGCGUGUAGGUGGUUGACUAGGUUUGAUGUGAAAUCCCCGGGCUUAACCUGGGAAUUGCGUCGAAAACGGGUCGACUGGAGUGAGAUAGAGGGUUGUGGAAUUUCCGGUGUAGCGGUGAAAUGCGUAGAUAUCGGAAAGAACAUCAGUGGCGAAGGCGACAACCUGGAUCUUAACUGACACUGAGGCGCGAAGGCGUGGGGAGCAAACAGGAUUAGAUACCCUGGUA